GAUUUUUGUUUUUGUGUUUGAUUCAGUGUGAUUCUUCAGCAGCCCCUUCUCAAGCAGUUAUUUCAUCUUGCUGCUGGAUUCGUGUAUCUACCAUUUGUGCGGACAAGCAGCAGAUAGCCCUGGUUUAGUGCAACAGAAAUCCUACCGAAAACCGUGUACCAGAGGGGCGACAAAGUUGUGGACUCGUUGGAUAUACCCCAGAAAAAAGAAGGAACUGACAUCUAUCCACUUCAGCAUUUGGUUACUCUUUGUCCUCGGUCAGUCCCUGUUGCGAUUUCCAGCUGGUGCCGGUCGACCCCGUUCGUGGCGUAGAAGACUCUCGGGCAGCUUCAGUCGGUUAAUUCAUGUCUAUUCGGCAACCUCAAAAUAUCUGACAAAUGGCAGACCGGAAUCGAUUAACCUAAGAAGACAUCAUCGAACCCAUCAUAGUCUGAUCCAUUCAAUUACGGAUUAGUUUGCUGCCCUGGCACAACAUGAAGAACAGAGGAGCGUAUGCAGGCAAAACUCGUUUCAAGUGAAAUUGCGUUUGUAUAACCGAAGCCGGUACCAGGGGAAACAACAAUCAAAAAUUAAGAAGGAACAGAUAACCUGGGCUAGUUGUAUUGCUGCUACCUUGAUCAGGCUGUGCGCUGAAGAGCAGAUUCAUCUUGGGAACAUCUACAAUCUUGCUGGUUAUUUUCAGGUUUUAGGCUUUAAAAUAUUAUCCGAAUCACUACAAACACCAAUGCCAGCAAAACAGACGUUCUGGCGACGACGUGAAAGCAGAAAUUCAAUUUGUAAACAAUUACCAAUAAUUGCCAAAGGAACACUUGGCAAUUUUGCAUUUGAAGCAAAGCGUCUCAAAAGUUACUUGACAAGGAACGAUCAUAUUCCGAACCAUUGUGCUGAUAGCUUUCUGCGCCACUUACGUCCUUCACCAGCGAUAGCACAUCACCAAAGUGA